rnacentral:rRNA from 1 species
CCUACGGGCGGCAGCAGUGGGGAAUAUUGCGCAAUGGGCGAAAGCCUGACGCAGCGACGCCGCGUGCGGGAUGAAGGUCUUUGGAUCGUAAACCUCUGUCAGCAGGGAAGAACGGUCACUGUGCUAAUCAGCAGUGAAUUGACGGUACCUGCAAAGGAAGCACCGGCUAACUCAGUGCCAGCAGCCGCGGUAAUACGGAGGGUGCGAGCGUUAAUCGGAAUUACUGGGCGUAAAGCGCUCGUAGGCGGUAUGUCAAGUCACGGGUGAAAUCCCCGCGCUAAACGUGGGAACUGCCUUUGAAUCUGGCAAACUUGAGUGUGUGAGAGGAUAGUGGAAUUCCAGGUGUAGGAGUGAAAUCCGUAGAUAUCUGGAGGAACAUCAGGGGCGAAGGCGACUAUCUGGCACAUAACUGACGCUGAGGAGCGAAAGCGUGGGUAGCAAACAGGAUUAGAUACCCGGGUAGUC